UACGUAGGUGGCAAGCGUUAUCCGGAAUUAUUGGGCGUAAAGCGCGUGUAGGCGGCUGACUAAGUCCGCUCUGAAAGCCCGGGGCUCAACCCCGGGAGGCGGGUGGAUACUGGUCAGCUCGAGUCCGGAAGAGGAGUGUGGAAUUCCUGGUGUAGCGGUGAAAUGCGCAGAUAUCAGGAGGAACACCAAUGGCGAAGGCAGCACUCUGGGACGGUACUGACGCUGAGACGCGAAAGCGUGGGGAGCAAACAGG
rnacentral:rRNA from 1 species